GCGAGCUUGAGUAUGGUAGGGGAGUCUGGUAUUCCUGGUGUAGCGGUGGAAUGCGCAGAUAUCAGGAGGAACACCAAUGGCGAAGGCAGGACUCUGGGCCGUAACUGACGCUGAGGAGCGAAAGCGUGGGGAGCGAACAGGAUUAGAUACCCUGGUAGUCCACGCCGCAAACGGUGGGUGCUAGUUGUGGGUUCCAUUCCACGGAAUCCGUGACGAAGUUAACACAUUAAGCACCCCGCCUGGGGAGUACGGUCGCAAGACUAAAACUCAAAGGAAUUGACGGGGGCCCGCACAAGCGGCGGAGCAUGCGGAUUAAUUCGAUGCAACGCGAAGAACCUUACCAAGGCUUGACAUAUACAGGAAAAGCGUAGAAAUACGCUCCCCGCAAGGUCUGUAUACAGGUGGUGCAUGGUUGUCGUCAGCUCGUGUCGUAGAUGUUGGGUUAAGUCCCGCAACGAGCGCAACCCUCGUCCUAUGUUGCCAGCACGUAAUGGUGGGAACUCAUGGGAGACUGCCGGGGUCAACUCGGAGGAAGGUGGGGAUGACGUCAAAUCAUCAUGCCCCUUAUGUCUUGGGCUUCACGCAUGCUACAAUGGCCGGUACAAAGGGCUGCAAUACCGCAAGGUGGAGCGAAUCCCAUAAAGCCGGUCUCAGUUCGGAUUGGGGUCUGCAACUCGACCCCAUGAAGUCGGAGUCGCUAGUAAUCGUAGAUCAGCAACGCUACGGUGAAUACGUUCCCGGGCCUUGUACACACCGCCCGUCAAGUCACGAAAGUCGGUAACACCCGAAGCCGGUGGCCUAACCGUAAGGA
rnacentral:rRNA from 1 species